rnacentral:rRNA from 1 species
AUCCUGGCUCAGGAUGAACGCUAGCUACAGGCUUAACACAUGCAAGUCGAGGGGCAGCACAGUGUAGCAAUACAUGGGUGGCGACCGGCGCACGGGUGCGUAACGCGUAUCCAACCUUCCCGUUACUCAGGGAUAGCCUUCCGAAAGGGAGAUUAAUACCUGAUGGUGUUUGAAUUCCGCAUGUUAUUCAAACUAAAGAUUCAUCGGUAACGGAUAGGGAUGCGUGACAUUAGAUAGUUGGCGGGGUAACGGCCCACCAAGUCAACGAUGUCUAGGGGUUCUGAGAGGAAGGUCCCCCACACUGGAACUGAGACACGGUCCAGACUCCUACGGGAGGCAGCAGUGAGGAAUAUUGGUCAAUGGGCGCAGGCCUGAACCAGCCAAGUAGCGUGAAGGAUGAAGGUUCUAUGGAUUGUAAACUUCUUUAUACGGGAAUAACAUCACCUACGUGUAGGUGCCUGCAUGUACCGUAUGAAUAAGCAUCGGCUAACUCCGUG